rnacentral:rRNA from 1 species
CGUUAUCCGGAUUUAUUGGGUUUAAAGGGUGCGUAGGCGGAUUAUUAAGUCAGUGGUGAAAGCCUGCAGCUUAACUGCAGAAUUGCCAUUGAUACUGAUGAUCUUGAGUAUGAUUGAGGUGGGCGGAAUGUGUCAUGUAGCGGUGAAAUGCUUAGAUAUGACACAGAACACCGAUUGCGAAGGCAGCUCACUAAGCCAUAACUGACGCUGAUGCACGAAAGCGUGGGGAGCAAACAGG